rnacentral:rRNA from 1 species
GACGAACGCUGGCGGCGUGCUUAACACAUGCAAGUCGAACGGAAAGGCCUGCUUUCCCUUGUGGAUUGCGGGUGCUCGAGUGGCGAACGGGUGAGUAACACGUGAGUGAUCUGCCCCCAACUUGGGUAUAAGCCCGGGAAACUGGGUCUAAUUCCCGAUAGGACUGCAGGGUGGUGCCUGUGGUGGAAAACGAUUUUCUAGUGGUUGGGGAUGAGCUCGCGGCCUAUCAGCUUGUUGGUGGGGUAAUGGCCUACCAAGGCGGCGACGGGUAGCCGGCCUGAGAGGGUGGACGGCCACAUUGGGACUGAGAUACGGCCCAGACUCCUACGGGAGGCAGCAGUGGGGAAUAUUGCACAAUGGGCGGAAGCCUGAUGCAGCGACGCCGCGUGGGGGAUGACGGCCUUCGGGUUGUAAACUCCUUUCGACCGCGAGGAAGCCACCUGGUUGGAAGGGUGGUGACGGUAGUGGUAGAAGAAGCACCGGCUAACUACGUG